rnacentral:rRNA from 1 species
CCUACGGGAGGCAGCAGUGGGGAAUAUUGCACAAUGGGGGAAACCCUGAUGCAGCGACGCCGCGUGGGGGAUGAAGUUUUUCGGUAUGUAAAGCCCUUUCAGCAGGGAAGAAAAUGACGGUACCUGACCAAGAAGCCCCGGCUAACUACGUGCCAGCAGCCGCGGUAAUACGUAGGGUGCAAGCGUUAUCCGGAUUUACUGGGCGUAAAGGGAGCGUAGGCGGCAGAGCAAGUCUGGAGUGAAAGUCUGGGGCUCAACCCUAGGACUGCUGUUGAAACUGGGAGGCUGGAGUGUAUGAGAGGUAAGUGGAAUUCGUGGUGUAGCGGUGAAAUGCGUAGAUAUCACGAGGAACACCGAUGGCGAAGGCGGCCUGCUAGACCAUAACUGACGCUGAUGCUCGAAAGCGUGGGGAGCAAACAGGAUUAGAUACCCCAGUAGUC